GACAGCUGUUGAAAGGCAGUGUCUCUUCGGAGCAGGGAGACAGGUGGUGCAUGGUUGUCGUCAGCUCGUGUCGUGAGAUGUUGGGUUAAGUCCCGCAACGAGCGCAACCCUUAUCCUUAGUUACCAGCACGUAAAGGUGGGGACUCUAGGGAGACCGCCGGGGACGACUCGGAGGAAGGUGGGGACGACGUCAAAUCAUCAUGCCCCUUAUGUCUUGGGCUACACACGUGCUACAAUGGCCGCAACAGAGGGAAGCGAGAGCGCAAGCUGGAGCAAAACCCUAAAAAGCGGUCCCAGUUCGGAUUGUGGGCUGCAACCCGCCCACAUGAAGUCGGAGUUGCUAGUAAUCGCGAAUCAGCAUGUCGCGGUGAAUGCGUUCCCGGGCCUU
rnacentral:rRNA from 1 species